UGACACAAUACUCCACUUUUUGUCUGCCAUAUAAUUAUAGUAGCCUCACCUUUUACGGCAAUAACGUUUUUGCUCCUUCUGUAGGAUGCGGGAACGUGCCCAUCCGCUCCUGUAUCUGCCAAAGGGAAUCUCCCAAUUCAAUCUCCAGCAACUGGGCACCAAGGAAAGCCACGGAAACCCCAGCAGCGGGCAAAGAAGAAAGCGAAAUCCACUCCCAUCUCCUCACCUGGUUUGGCGAGCAAUGGCCAGAUCUGCAAGGAGAAAUCGCUCGUAUCCGGGCCUGUGGAAAUCGCAGUCGCCGUGAAAAAGGGGUAAGAGCCCUUUCCUUCAAUAUUUCGCAGCUGAAAUUGCCAAGGAAUCAUAGAAUUGGGACCCCCAAAGAUCAUUUAGUCUGACC
rnacentral:lncRNA from 11 species